GUAAGUACUCGGUAGAUAUUUCUGCUGUCUAUACUAUCAUAGUUAUUGAUAAUAUAAAGACAUGUAAAAUCAUAAUGUUUUUAUCACAUAAACUUCAUAAAAGUGAUAAAAACAUUAAAACCCUGUAAUCUGGCUAAGUCUUUAUGAAACUAAGCAGAAGUGUAAGUUAGUUUAUAAGAAUACCUCAGUAGAUAAGUGUCUUGGUCAGCUUAACUAUCAGAAAAUACCAUAGGCUGUUAAAAAAUGAAUGAAAGAAUGCCAUUUGCAGCAACAUGGAUGAACCUAGAGAUUAUCGUACUAAAUGAAGUAAAUCGGAGAAAAAGAAAAAUGAUAUCACUUAUAUGUGAUAUCACUUAUACCUGAUAUCACGUAUACCAUAUGAUUAUCACUUAUGUGAAAUCUAAAACACAAUACAAAAGAACUUAUUUAGAAAACAGACUCACAGAUGUAGAAAACAAACUUAAGUUUGCCAAAGGGGAGAUGAGGUGGGGGAAGCAUAUUUGGAGUUUGAGAUCAACAGAUACAAACUAUUAUAUAUAAAAUAGAAAAACAACAAGGUCCGACUGUAUAGCACAGGGAACUAUAUUCAAUAUCCUAUAAUAGACCAUAAUGGAAAAAAUAUGUGUGUGUGUGUGUGCGCGUGCUAAGUCACUUUAGUUGUGUCUGACUCUUGAGACCCCAUGGACUGUAGCCCAUCAGGUGUGUGUGUGUGUGUGUGUGCACGCGUGUGCGUGUGCGCUAAGUCACUUUAGUUGUGUCUGACUCUUGAGACCCCAUGGAUUGUGUAGCCCAUCAGGUAUAUGUGUAUGUGUGUGUGUGUAUGUGUAUAUGUGUGUGUGCGUGUGCGCUAAGU
ensembl:lncRNA